UACGUAGGGUGCGAGCGUUGUCCGGAAUUAUUGGGCGUAAAGAGCUCGUAGGCGGUGUGUCGCGUCGGUCGUGAAAACUUGGGGCUUAACCCUGAGCUUGCGGUCGAUACGGGCAUCACUGGAGUUCGGCAGGGGAGAGUGGAAUUCCUGGUGUAGCGGUGAAAUGCGCAGAUAUCAGGAAGAACACCGAUGGCGAAAGCAGCUCUCUGGGACGGUACUGACGCUGAGGCGCGAAAGCGUGGGGAGCAAACAGG
rnacentral:rRNA from 1 species